CAGCAACUUGUCAGCCUCUAAUACAUGUUUCUGCUUAUCCCUGAACAACUCAUCCUGACUCAUCCCACAACUGCUCACGAUUCAGUCUGAACAUGUCUCACUCAGCCAUGACACCCAGGAGACAGGGCCUUCAAGCUUGAUUCUGUAUUCCCCUUCCCCUGAUACGAUCACAUGUAAUAGAUGCAUGUGAAGCUAUGGGAAGAAAUGAGGUGGUUGAGAACAAGAGUGAAUGGUGAGAAGGAACCAGGACUGACCCCUGUAGGACACUAACAGUCAGAGGCCAGAGACAGGAGGCACAGUCAGCAAGGGAAGCCAAGAAGAAGUGAUGAAAGAAGUAGACAGAAAAUCAGGAGAACAGGACUCAGAAGUCAAGAGACAAAAGUGCUUCAGCCUGGAGGGGGAGGCCAGCAGGAUCAAAUGCUGCUGAGAGAAUUCACAUAUGAAGCUGACUAAAAGAUACACAAUGGACUUGGCAACAGAAAGAUCAUUGGUGACUUUAGCAAACUUCCGUGUCCAUGAUCAGCUCUGUUCUCCUGGAAACCUGAUAAAGGUGGAACGUUGGCUGUGUUACCAAGCAACAAUGCUUGUGGUAAAAAUGAUCCACUUCAUCUGGACAGCGAGGGCCGUGAAUGAAUCAUAAGUACCUGGUGGGAAGCUGUGGCUCUGGAGUUCUGAAUCUUGACUCUUGGAGCUCGGCACGCCCCUUGAGGAGACAAGGAAGCUAUUCCCAUGAGACUCUUACUAGAAAUAUCAGUUUCUCAUUGGAAUAAGGCUUUAAUUUGCUAUGUAUGUGACAUUUCAGUUUACCUGGGUAUCCUGUAUUUUAUCUGGCAACCCUACUUGAGGAAAAGGAGCUAGAGAGACACCUGCCAUCAUGCAGUUGGAGUGCUGUUUCAUGCCUUUGCAUCCUUAUUCUAAAUUAAGUUAGACCAGGCACGGUGGCUCACGCCUAUAAUCCCAGCAUUUUGGGAGGCUGAGGCGGGUAGAUCACCUGAGAUCAGGAGUUCGAGAUCAGCCUGGCCAACAUGAUGAAACCCUGUCUCUACUAAAAAUACAAAAAAUCAGCCGGGUGUGGUGGCGGACUCCUGUAAUCCCAGAUGUUCGGGAGGCUGAGGCAAGAGAAUCUCUCAAAUACGGGAGGUGAAGUUUGCAGUGAGCCGAGAUUCACCAUUGCACUCCAGCCUGGGCAACAAGAACAAAACUCCAUCUCAAAAUAAAUAGUUAGUGCCAAGCAUGUCAUGCUGUAGUCAUGCGAGUCUAAGUGUCUAACAGACCCUGAGAAGAACUCCAAAGUGGGCAUCGUAACCUAGCAACAGUGACCAUCCUAGGAAGAAUAGCACCCCAGGAACCCAGAUUAUGUUCUAUGAAGAGUUCAGGUUGAGAGAGAAUUUAAAUUCUGCUCAAAGGAGGAAACAUACCGGCCAUCUUGAGAUGCCCAGGUGCCUCUGUUCUCCAUUGUUCUCUCCUUUAGGAGCAGAAAAGCAGCAAGCCAAGCAUGCUGGGUUCCCAGAAGACCAACACUAUAUUCUGAAGACACCAAGAAGAUAUUCAGUUUUUCCCCACUCAGAGAUGACAUGAUUGCAGACAUGACAUCCAUGAGCUCAAAGCUCUCAUCUCCAAAUAAACAUUGAAUUCAGCCAAACAUUGGUCAAGCACCUACUGCCAGCAGACAUGUUUUGCAUACCAGUGAAACUAGUGACAUCGGCUGGUCUAAAGGACCCCACAAGCAGUUGACUCAAAGAACAAAGUUUCCAAGUUCUGAUUUUCAUACCCCUUCCUCGAUCAAUCAACAACCACAAUUUUCUAGCCCCUUGCCCUUCAUAAUUCUCUUAAAAACCCCAGCCCAGAACCCCUCAGAGAUGGAUUCGAGGGUCUCCUUCCAUCUCCUUGCUCAGCCACCCUACAAUCAUUAAAGGCUUUCUCUGCUGCAA
rnacentral:lncRNA from 1 species